GACGAACGCUGGCGGCGUGCCUAAUACAUGCAAGUUGAGCGCUGAAGGUUGGUACUUGUACCGACUGGAUGAGCAGCGAACGGGUGAGUAACGCGUGGGGAAUCUGCCUUUGAGCGGGGGACAACAUUUGGAAACGAAUGCUAAUACCGCAUAAAAACUUUAAACACAAGUUUUAAGUUUGAAAGAUGCAAUUGCAUCACUCAAAGAUGAUCCCGCGUUGUAUUAGCUAGUUGGUGAGGUAAAGGCUCACCAAGGCGAUGAUACAUAGCCGACCUGAGUGGGUGAUCCGCCACAUUGGGACUGAGACACGGCCCAAACUCCUACGGGAGGCAGCAGUAGGGAAUCUUCGGCAAUGGACGAAAGUCUGACCGAGCAACGCCGCGUGAGUGAAGAAGGUUUUCGGAUCGUAAAACUCUGUUGGUAGAGAAGAACGUUGGUGAGAGUGGAAAGCUCAUCAAGUGACGGUAACUACCCAGAAAGGGACGGCUAACUACGUG
rnacentral:rRNA from 1 species